UAUAAGCACUUGUACUGUGAAACUGCGAAUGGCUCAUUAAAUCAGUUAUCGUUUAUUUGAUAGUACCUUACUACAUGGAUACCUGUGGUAAUUCUAGAGCUAAUACAUGCUAAAAACCCCGACUUCAGGAAGGGGUGUAUUUAUUAGAUAAAAAACCAACGCCCUUCGGGGCUCCUUGGUGAAUCAUAAUAACUUAACGAAUCGCAUGGCCUUGCGCCGGCGAUGGUUCAUUCAAAUUUCUGCCCUAUCAACUUUCGAUGGUAGGAUAGUGGCCUACCAUGGUGGCAACGGGUAACGGGGAAUUAGGGUUCGAUUCCGGAGAGGGAGCCUGAGAAACGGCUACCACAUCCAAGGAAGGCAGCAGGCGCGCAAAUUACCCAAUCCCGAUACGGGGAGGUAGUGACAAUAAAUACUGAUACGGGGCUCUUUUGGGUCUCGUAAUUGGAAUGAGAACAAUUUAAAUCCCUUAACGAGGAACAAUUGGAGGGCAAGUCUGGGCCA
rnacentral:rRNA from 1 species